rnacentral:rRNA from 1 species
UACGAAGGGGGCUAGCGUUGUUCGGAUUUACUGGGCGUAAAGCGCACGUAGGCGGAUCGUUAAGUCGGGGGUGAAAUCCUGGAGCUCAACUCCAGAACUGCCUUCGAUACUGGCGAUCUUGAGUCCGGAAGAGGUGAGUGGAAUUCCUAGUGUAGAGGUGGAAUUCGUAGAUAUUAGGAAGAACACCAGUGGCGAAGGCGGCUCACUGGACUGGUAUUGACGCUGAGGUGCGAAAGCGUGGGGAGCAAACAGG